rnacentral:rRNA from 1 species
CCUACGGGAGGCAGCAGUGGGGAAUCUUGCGCAAUGGGCGAAAGCCUGACGCAGCAACGCCGCGUGGGGGAUGAAGGCUCUCGGGUUGUAAACCCCUUUCAGCAGGGACGAAUCUGACGGUACCUGCAGAAGAAGCCCCGGCCAACUACGUGCCAGCAGCCGCGAUAACACGUAGGGGGCGAGCGUUGUCCGGAUUUAUUGGGCGUAAAGAGCUCGUAGGCGGUUCGGUAAGUCGGGUGUGAAACCUCCAGGCUCAACCUGGAGACGCCACCCGAUACUGCUGUGACUGGAGUCCGGUAGGGGAGCGUGGAAUUCCUGGUGUAGCGGUGAAAUGCGCAGAUAUCAGGAGGAACACCAGCGGCGAAGGCGGCGCUCUGGGCCGGAACUGACGCUGAGGAGCGAAAGCGUGGGUAGCAAACAGGAUUAGAUACCCUAGUAGU